AGUCGAACGAGAAUCUACUGAAAGAGUUUUCGGACAAUGGAUGUAGAGGAAAGUGGCGGACGGGUGAGUAACGCGUGAGGAACCUGCCUUGAAGAGGGGGACAACAGUUGGAAGCGACUGCUAAUACCGCAUAACGCAUAGGGGUCGCAUGAUCUUUAUGCCAAAGAUUUAUUGCUUCAAGAUGGCCUCGCGUCUGAUUAGCUAGUUGGCGGGGUAACGGCCCACCAAGGCGACGAUCAGUAGCCGGACUGAGAGGUUGAACGGCCACAUUGGGACUGAGAUACGGCCCAGACUCCUACGGGAGGCAGCAGUGGGGAAUAUUGGGCAAUGGGCGCAAGCCUGACCCAGCAACGCCGCGUGAAGGAAGAAGGCUUUCGGGUUGUAAACUUCUUUUAAGAGGGAAGAGUAGAAGACGGUACCUCUAGAAUAAGCCACGGCUAACUACGUGCCAGCAGCCGCGGUAAUACGUAGGUGGCAAGCGUUGUCCGGAUUUACUGGGUGUAAAGGGCGUGCAGCCGGGUCUGCAAGUCAGAUGUGAAAUCCAUGGGCUCAACCCAUGAACUGCAUUUGAAACUGUAGAUCUUGAGUGUCGGAGGGGCAAUCGGAAUUCCUAGUGUAGCGGUGAAAUGCGUAGAUAUUAGGAGGAACACCAGUGGCGAAGGCGGAUUGCUGGACGAUAACUGACGGUGAGGCGCGAAAGUGUGGGGAGCAAACAGGAUUAGAUACCCUGGUAGUCCACACUGUAAACGAUGAAUACUAGGUGUGCGGGGACUGACCCCCUGCGUGCCGCAGUAAACACAAUAAGUAUUCCACCUGGGG
rnacentral:rRNA from 1 species